rnacentral:rRNA from 1 species
UACGGCCAUAGAGCCUAGAAAACGCCACAUCCCGUCUGCUCUGUGAAGCUAAGCUAGGCAUCGCUCGGUUAGUACCAAGGUGGGGGACCACUUGGGAAUCCCGGGUGCUGUAGUU